AAGCGAUAACUAGAAGAGGCACUGAGCCUGCAUAGCUAUCAAAAAUGUCAAUCCAGUAACUCCCUGAACCCAGUGUAAAACACAGAGCAAAAAGGAAGGAAGCUAGACAUAUUAUACCUGAAGAAAAAGAGAUACCUUUGUUACUGGAGGACAGAAAUUGAGAUCAUUUUUGUUCUAAAUUGUUUUUACUUGUGUUUGAGUAACUUUUAUUCUCUUUCCCUAUAUGGACCUACUUGAUACCAUUUCCUAAACUCAGUUUUCUCCUCUGUGGUGACCAAAGACACGAUUCUUUUGCAUGAGGAAAGCAUUCCUGUGACAAAUAUUCUUCAGUUACUAGAGUUCCAAGCAAGUACUCUGCACUGUGCCUUGCCUUGUGGUAGUCUUUGGAUGUUGCCUAUUGACUGAUGCAGAGAGCUUUAGCUGUUCUCAUGUUCAUGCAGUCAUUGGUCUACAUAAACAGCUGGGACCUGUGGUGGGUAAGCACCUAGAGCUGAGAAGGAUACCUCCUUAUGUCCCGAGAUGGAAGUACAUGCAUAUGGAUGGUUACCUCAUCAAGUUGCAGAUAGAUUUGGUUUUUUUACAUAAAAAGUUGUGGAAUUAGAAGAAUCUAAUUUAGGUGCCCCAGCAAGACUUUAGAAAAGGCAUGGUAGCAAUAUUCCAUGUAUUAAUUUAAAAUGAUACAGUAGACAGGUGUUAAUCCAUUACUUGAAACUGCUGAAUUUUUUCUGGACCAAUCCAGUAGGAUCUCUCCUAUUAUUCUCUUCUGUUUCUUUUUGCUAAUGCAGGCUUUUAUGUUUCAGCAAAGAAAGCCAAAAUGAACAAAUUCAACUCAGAGCCCAAUUCCUGAAGAGAAGGCUGGAUUUGGUGUCUCAGUUGGAAGAGGCUCUAGCUUUGAACAAGAUCUUCACAAGGGAUGAUGUGUAUUUGUGUCCUCGGCUCUGAUGCGCAGCCCCUGGCUCCACCAGCGCUGCUGUAAGAAGGCUGGCGCUCCUCUGCUUCGUGCCCUGGGCUCAGCCUUUCUCCAUUCUGGGAGACUCUGUGGCAGCAGGCAGCCACCUGAGCAAAAUGGUCAGACCAAAACUGAGAGGUUGCCCUUUCCCACUGGCAAAGCAAGACUUUGCACUGGAAGCCCCUAGGAGAAAAAGUUUCUGCAUGACAUUUUACAAGAACCUAUAGUGCUGCCUAACUGGAAACAAGCCGAAAACUGUUCUGUAAGCUGUGGGAGCAAUGACAUCUGGUUUCAUCUGGAUACCAUCAAAGAAGUGUGACGCUGAAUAUAAUUAAAAAGAGACCUUUACAGCAUUAAGACAUUAACAUUGUAAGAUGUGUAGAUCUGUGAAUUAAGGAAGCAUUGGCUUUUUCUCUUUGUUAGCUGAGUGACUGAAGACAUCUUUGGUAAGUACAAAAAGUGAUUUUUUUUUUUUAAUACUAAAUUAGUCUUAAUUGGAUUUACCUGUUGCUGUUACACCAAAACCUCAAAUAGAACCUGGUAAAGGUGUGUUUUCAUGGCUGUACUUGCAGUAGCUUUUUGCCCACCUCAAGAUCUGCCAUUGGGACACACAGACCAGCUGCAGCCACACAGCUCCUGCUGCAUAGGUCGCUGUCCUCCAUAUUGCUUUUCCCUCUGAACAUCCACACACGUACCUGUGACUGACAGAAAUUAUUUGAAAGGUACAACACACUAUGGCUGGGACUCUUUGAGGAUCCCUUCAACAUUUGUUCCUAAGCAAACCCAAGAUGGGACUGUUCUCUAGACAAGACCAUAUAUGUUCAGACAUCAAAAUCUUGUCUGCUUUCACCAUAACUGCCUGAGGUUAAUCACUUCCCACCUGUCAAUGAAUCCCAAGUGACUAUUUUUAUUUUUCAUUAAAUAGUUACUGAGGAAUGUAACAGCUGAGUGCUUGCCUUCAAUUGAAAGCCUGUGAGAAAAACUUUAAUGUUCUCUUUCCAAAAUACCAGGGUUUUGCUGUUUUACACUCCACACCUUUAUAGAACAUCCACGUCACAGAAAUCAGCUACAGCACCCACCACCCUCCCCCCCACCACUGUUGUGCUCCAGACCAGAGAGUGCUGUGCUCGGGCUGUCCUGGCAGUACCUCCAUCCCUGCCCCCUGCAGCUGCUUCAGACUCAGCUCAUUAGGAAAAUCUGACUGCCUUUCCUAUUACAGAAUAGCAACUUGAAAGAUUUUAAAUAAAAUAUAUUCAUAGAAUCAUAGAAUUGUUCAGGUUGGAAAAGACCUUAAAGAUCAUCAAGUCCAACCACAACCUAACCAUACUACCCUAACUCUAACAACCCUCCACUAAAUCAUGUCCCUGAGCACCACAUGCAAACAGUUUUUAAAAACAUUCAGGGAUGGUGACUCAACCACCUCCCUGGGGAGCCAAUUCCAGUGCUUAACAACUCUUGCUGUAACUUAAACUUUCCCUGGUGCAACUUGAGGCCAUUUCCCCUCAUCCUGUCAACUGUCACUAGAAGAGACCAACCCCACUCUUGCUGUAAUUAUCCUUCAGAUAUUAUUAUUCAGAUUAUUAUCGUCCAUAAAUAUUCAUAUUCAUAUUUUUUAAUAUUCAAAUAAUAUAUAUUU